rnacentral:rRNA from 1 species
AGCGAACGCUGGCGGCAGGCUUAACACAUGCAAGUCGAACGCAUCCUUCGGGGUGAGUGGCAGACGGGUGAGUAACGCGUGGGAACAUGCCCUUUGGUUCGGAAUAACUCAGGGAAACUUGAGCUAAUACCGGAUAAGCCCCCGGACUUGGUCCGGGGGGAAAGAUUUAUCGCCGAAGGAUUGGCCCGCGUCCGAUUAGCUAGUUGGUGAGGUAAUGGCUCACCAAGGCGACGAUCGGUAGCUGGUCUGAGAGGAUGAUCAGCCACACUGGGACUGAGACACGGCCCAGACUCCUACGGGAGGCAGCAGUGGGGAAUAUUGGACAAUGGGGGCAACCCUGAUCCAGCCAUGCCGCUUGAGUGAUGAAGGCCCUAGGGUUGUAAAGCUCUUUCGGCGGGGACGAUAAUGACGGUACCCGCAGAAGAAGCCCCGGCUAACUUCGUGCCAGCCGCCGCCGUAA